GAGGGAGGGAGGCAGGCAGGGAAAAGGAAUGGGAAGGAAGGACGGAGGAAGGGAGGGUCCUAACGCCCAACGGUUUCCUGGCAUUCCGACACUAGUACGCCUGCGCAGUACUUGAGCACUUUUUCCCGCCCGUUUGGUUUUGGUAUGCUCUCUCUCACACACGUGACCAGUCACAAAUUCUGAAUAGUUCAACCAGAAUCGCAGUGUCAGAACCCAACUGGAUGCGUCUACACUGCACUACAAAAUGAAUACAGUUCGGUGUCAUUUUAAGAGACCCCCAAGGGCCACCCAGUCCAAUCCCAUUCUGCCAUGCAGGAAUGCACACUCAAAGCACUCCCGACAGAUGGCCAUCCAGCCUCUGCUUCAAAACCUCCAGACAAGGAGACUCCACCAAGCUGGGCUUCUUCAAGAGUGCCAACCGCAAGCAAGAGGCAGAUCAGAGCCAGAACAGCAAGGACUUGGACUAAGGCCUCCACUUCUCAACCAAGGGACUUUGUGACACCUCGCUGUCCAGUGUGGUUCUGCACCGAGGCCAUCCUUGGUGUCGGUUUGCCCUCCCAUCAUUGAUAGCAACUAUAUCGCCCAUAGGAGCAGGGAGGUGAUGUCAGGCAAAGGCUCUUCAAACUGGGUUUCACCAUUUCCUUCUGCUUAAGACACUGGACGCACACAGAGCAGACUCCAAAGGGAGAUCCGUCCUUCACCAAAGUGACCAGUCUUGGCUCUUCAAGGUGCCAGAAAAGGAAUGAGAUGGCGCCUAAAACCCCUUUACCUCUCAGCAAUGCAAAGAUACCUCCUGCCUGGGAAUACACUCCUUUUCAGAGGAAGACGGCACAUCUUUUUUUUUUACGAGGGACAUAGUGAAAAGCCUUCCUUCUCGGCGCCUCCUGUGGACCCCAAACCCCAGGCGGGCAGAGGAAGCCAAGGAAAAAAGGGCCUCAAUCAGGGCCUGGCAAGCGAGAACCGGGCAGGACCAAGAAGCCCCCCACCUGGUCCAGGCCUGCUUAUUCCCCGCUCUCGGGGCCAGCCUGGGUGAGGGUAGGCCCAGGCCCCAGGCGAGGAAAAUGCCUCCCCCUUGCUCACAGAAGCAGGGCCCGCUCCAGCCCCUCCUGAGGAGGCAAAAGCCAGUAGGGGCGCUGCCGGGCCUGGAAGUGGCAGAGGUGCACCCGGGCAGGGUCAGGCCCAGGCCUCAGGGAAGGGCGAGGCCACUGAGGCAGGGAGCGUUCCGGCCGUUGCGGGCGAGGAGGGGGGCCGAGAGGGCACUGCCCACCUUAGACCUGCCCCCGCCCGCCCUUCCUCGCCAGGCCGCCCUGAUGUAUAAUCAUCAUCUGUGCCUCAAUCUGGUUCCAGGAUUUUCUAUGUGAUCAUCUGCCCUGUAAAACCACUUUCUUUAAUAUCUAUUUGAACCUGCAUUAAAGUAUCAGUGUAGAUGGGG